ACAGAAUAGAUCCUCUCCAACAUUCCCAACUUCCUAAGCCUUCAGUUUCCUUUUCUUUAAAAUGCUAGAAAAGUCCUCAUUAACUGCCAGCCACUGUUGAAUGAGACUUCUGCUAGCCAGCGUAGUUAUGAAGACCACUCCCAGGUGCUCAAGCCAGCACAGUAAAUCCUGAAUCUUGACUGAAUCCACCCAUAUCAUCACAUUCUCCUUGAUCGAGUUUUGCAUUUAAUCCUUCUCCAACUAAUACCCAUAGGACUCCCUUCCUUACAUGCUCUGCACACUUCUGUCAAUUUUCUUGCAACUCUUCUGAUGUUCAGAUCCAGGUUUAUCCUUCCCCAUCUGGGAUAUACUGGGAUGUAGCUCUCAUUAUAGGCCUGGAGGCAAUGAGGGAUGUGAAAGUGGAUCCCAAGGUCAGGAGUUUGAGACCAGCCUGGCCAACAUGGCAAAACCCCAUCUCUACUAAAAAUACAAAAAUUAGCCAGGCUUGAUGGCAGAUGGCUGUAGUCCCAGCUAUGCAGGAGGCUGAGGCAGGAGAAUCGCUUGUACCCAGGAGGUGGAGUUUACAGUGAGCUGAGAUCAUGCCACUGCACUCCAGCCUGCAUGACAGUACAAGACUCCAUCUCAAAAAAAAAAAAAAGGCAAGCCACUGAGGCGAGAGAGGAGUGAGAUGGGUUGUUAAGAGAGGACAAGGAGGCCAGGUGCAGUGGUUCAUGCUUAUAAUUUCAGCUACUUGGGAACAGAGGUGGGAGGAGCGCUUGAGCACAGGAGUUCAAGACAAUAGUGAGUCGUGAUAGUGACACUCACUCCAACCUGGGUUACAGAGCAAGCCGCCAUCUCUUAAAAAAAAAAAAUUGAGUAGGAGAAGAGAACAAAGUAGGGCUCAGUCAGCUAUCAACUACUCACUUCCAUUCUGACAGUCUUGGCUUUCUAUCUUCCUCUCUGGGCAUUUCUGCUCAGAGUCCAUUAGGGGUUCACUUUUUUCCUGCCUAUCCCCUAACUGCUGACGCCACUUAGAGUUCUCCAGCUGCACAUGCUCUCUGAGAGAUCAGUACGCCGCCAUGGCCUCUGCCGCUGUCACGCACAGAUGAUGCACAGAUGGCUGGCCCAGCUUGGUCUCAGGAGCUCAGUUCCCACCCAUCUAGAAGUUGGCAGAAAUUGAGGCAGAAGGAGGAACGCUG
rnacentral:lncRNA from 1 species